GAUAAGAACGCAGCGAAAUGCGAUAAGUAAUGUGAAUUGCAGAAUUCAGUGAAUCAUCGAAUCUUUGAACGCACAUUGCGCCCCCUGGCAUUCCGGGGGGCAUGCCUGUUCGAGCGUCAUUACAACCCUCAAGCUCUGCUUGGUAUUGGGCUCUGCUGGGACCGGCAGGCCUUAAAAUCAGUGGCGGCGCCACUCGGCUUCAAGCGUAGUAAUUCUUCUCGCUUCGGAGACCCGGGUGCGUGCUAGCCAGCAACCCCCAACUUUCUUAGGUUGACCUCGGAUCAGGUAGGGAUACCCGCUGAACUUAAGCAUAUCAAUAAGCGGAGGA
rnacentral:misc_RNA from 1 species